UGCCAGGUCCAAGACUCCCAAAGCAACCAGGACGUCAAAAAAAGACUUGACUGAAGAGGAGGAGUGGAAAGUCACCUUCCUGUCCAGCAAGACUAGCUUCACUAAGGGCAGGAUCUUGAUUCUGAAGACUAAGUACGCCAUCUCCUGGGGCAAGUCCUCAGUCUCGUGGAGCAGAACCACCGCUACCCUGGGAAAAAUCACUGUGACCAUGGGAAAGACCUCCGUGACACGAGACCAGACCACCAGCUCUCUGACCACUCUCACCUUCACCCAUGGAGAGAAGUCUGUGUCUGUGGUCAAAUCCAGCCUCACUAGGGGCAGACAAACUACACGGAACAUCUACUGGGAUUUCCACCUGUGAUUAUUGUAUACCGUUACACUCAAAACAGAGGGACUUUAAUCUGCUCAGUUUCAGCAGGUUCAACAUGUUGGCACCAACAGUGUUCAUCCAGUCAUGGACCUCGUCAUGAGAGCUCUUAGGCCAGAAUAUGCAACAAAGUAAAAUAUCAACUGGCCUGUAACAAGAUUCCCUAGUGAUAGCUGUUUCUCCUGGUUUGGCCUCUUUCAAUAAGGUAAAAUAGCAGCUAUUGGUACAGUCUGUUUCUCUCAAAUGAACCAAGUACAGAUGACACUCUGGUCCCGUCAUGUUUUAAAAACAUAUGUAGCCCAUAGCAACAGCUAUACUGUUUUGUAAGACUUAUUUUAUUCUUGACAUUUUAUUAUUAUUCUGGCCAUGGUAAAUACUUAUAAAUGAAAGCCAGCUUAAGGCAUGAGUGGUAUCUCCUUCAAAAGUUAUUUUUUUCUCAGAACUUGAAAAGUUGAUGGUGCCAAGCUCCAACUGAGAUUUCUUCAGUCAUUUUCAAACACACAUCAAAUUAGUACAUGAAUACAUGAGACUUUUCCACUUGGAGACUACCAGCUGGACCAUACUGUAUAUCUAUGACCUCUGCUGACUUAACUAUUGACCUAAGACCUUUGACCCGGGGAAGCAACAAUAGUUCCCUGUGAUGUUGAGAGUAUUUCCAGAUUUCCGUCACUGUACUGUCUAUUGCUGUGCAUGGAAAUCUCUGUCAUCAGAAUAGGUUCAGUCGAUGAAACAUGAUGUAAUGGGGAGGUCACUUUGACACAUCAGAUCACUGCAUUUUAGAAGUCACUAUAUCUGGGCUUUGGUGUCGAAAACAGGGCCAUCACAGAAUACGUCUACUAGUAUUACUGAACCCUACUAUAUCAGUAUAGCACUACAACAACCAUGUUAAUGACUUGGAGGAAGAGCUUUGAAUGGGAGUGUGAUGCCACUUUGGCAAAAUCCAUUAUGAUCCCUGAUGACAAAUUGGCAUGGGGAUGAAGUACUGGGUCCAGCAUUUCACCAAGGGUCAAUGACACAGUAAACAGAUUCAAAUUCAGUAAUCAAGAACAACUCUGAAUGUUCUAUUAUCAUACACAAAUAGGCCUCAAACCAAGGAUUUACUUCCAAAAAAAAUGAAAAAUAGGAAAUCCAAACAUGUUAAUCUAUGUGUGUCGAUGUCUGGUAAAUGUGUGUGUUGUGAUAGUGGAGGAAAUGUUUUGUAUUCAAAUUGAAAAUAUAUACACGUGCACUAGUGUUAGAAGAAGGAUCAUGCUUGGGCUGGUGUGCUAACUGAACACUAAUUUGGGCUACGUUGGGAGGGAUGGCUAAUGAUCUGAAGAUAACUGUGUCCAUAUCAGUCAAACCUUUUUCAUGACUCCCUCCAUUACUCUUGGCAUUAGUCUGGAGCACAGAUCCACCCUCUAUUCUUUGCCACAAGGCUGCCCUGCUCUGCCCUGCUGGUAGCCCUGCCUACACAUUGAGACACACACACAACAUCAACCUGACUCUAUGCACAGCCAGAGGUCCUGAGGUCACAAACAUUCACAACCUUUGUCAACUUGAACACCACCUGGGACAAGGGCUGUCAUUGGCUGACACAUGGAAGUAUGAUACACGUCUGUCUGGCAGGAAAAGAGGCCUCUGACUUACAGCCCAUCUUAGACUGCACAAUACAAAAGGUAGACUUGACAUCGACACAGAUGCUUUCAGAUAUUCAAAGCCUGGGGAAUACAUGUAUUACCCUUGCAAUAAACUUAAUUCAUAGCUCUCAUUGAAAAGUAAUUCAUGUCUUUCCAAGUGGAGACAACUGUAUGAUUAGCAUUACUGAUGAAAAACUGUUGUGAACAUUUUUUGUUUUGUUUUGUGUCCUGUGCCUGUGUCUUUAAAUGUCUUGGAUUAAAUGUUCUUGGCACGGUCAGUGUCUGAAAAAUGACCGAACUGCAACAAAUGUCUCUUUGUUCUCUCGCUAAUCCUUCUUGGAGUCUGAAGUCUAUGUCUUUGAAAACAUUAUUUAUGGUCAUGAUCCAUGUCUGUUCUAUGUGUUCUAUUACACUAUGUUCCACUAAAUGCAGACAGAACCCUUGACAGAGAGGUGCUGUAAUAAAAAAGUGCUUGAUCGUG